rnacentral:rRNA from 1 species
GACGUAGGGCGCGAGCGUUGUCCGGAUUUAUUGGGCGUAAAGAGCUCGUAGGCGGCUUGUCGCGUCGUCCGUGAAAACCUGCGGCUCAACUGCAGGCUGGCGGUCGAUACGGGCAGGCUGGAGUUCGGUAGGGGAGAGUGGAAUCCUGGUGUAGCGGUGAAAUGCGUAGAUAUCUGGAGGAACACCGGUGGCGAAGGCGGCAUCCUGGACCAAUUCUGACGCUGAGGAGCGAAAGCCAGGGGAGCAAACGGG